CGUCAGUGGCAGACGGGUGAGUAACGCGUGGGAACGUACCUUUUGGUUCGGAACAACACAGGGAAACUUGUGCUAAUACCGGAUAAGCCCUUACGGGGAAAGAUUUAUCGCCGAAAGAUCGGCCCGCGUCUGAUUAGCUAGUUGGUGAGGUAAUGGCUCACCAAGGCGACGAUCAGUAGCUGGUCUGAGAGGAUGAUCAGCCACAUUGGGACUGAGACACGGCCCAAACUCCUACGGGAGGCAGCAGUGGGGAAUAUUGGACAAUGGGGGCAACCCUGAUCCAGCCAUGCCGCGUGAGUGAUGAAGGCCCUAGGGUUGUAAAGCUCUUUUGUGCGGGAAGAUAAUGACGGUACCGCAAGAAUAAGCCCCGGCUAACUUCGUGCCAGCAGCCGCGGUAAUACGAAGGGGGCUAGCGUUGCUCGGAAUCACUGGGCGUAAAGGGUGCGUAGGCGGGUUUCUAAGUCAGAGGUGAAAGCCUGGAGCUCAACUCCAGAACUGCCUUUGAUACUGGAAGUCUUGAGUAUGGCAGAGGUGAGUGGAACUGCGAGUGUAGAGGUGAAAUUCGUAGAUAUUCGCAAGAACACCAGUGGCGAAGGCGGCUCACUGGGCCAUUACUGACGCUGAGGCACGAAAGCGUGGGGGAGCAAACAGGAUUAGAUACCCUGGUAGUCCACGCCGUAAACGAUGAAUGCCAG
rnacentral:rRNA from 1 species